CCUACGGGAGGCAGCAGUAGGGAAUAUUGGACAAUGGGCGCAAGCCUGAUCCAGCCAUGCCGCGUGAGUGAAGAAGGCCCUCGGGUUGUAAAGCUCUUUUGUUGGGGAAGAAAAGCAGUUGGUUAAUACCCGAUUGUUCUGACGGUACCCAAAGAAUAAGCACCGGCUAACUUCGUGCCAGCAGCCGCGGUAAUACGAAGGGUGCAAGCGUUACUCGGAAUUACUGGGCGUAAAGCGUGCGUAGGUGGUUGUUUAAGUCUGAUGUGAAAGCCCUGGGCUCAACCUGGGAAUGGCAUUGGAUACUGGAUAGCUAGAGUGCGGUAGAGGGUAGUGGAAUUCCCGGUGUAGCAGUGAAAUGCGUAGAGAUCGGGAGGAACAUCCGUGGCGAAGGCGACUACCUGGGCCAGCACUGACACUGAGGCACGAAAGCGUGGGGAGCAAACAGGAUUAGAUACCCUUGUAGUC
rnacentral:rRNA from 1 species